GGUAGUGUGGCCGAGCGGUCUAAGGCGCUGGAUCCAGGUUCCAGUCCUGAAAGCGUGGGUUCGAAUCCCACCACUGCCA